UGAGCAAUCUGCCCUUCACAUCGGAAUAACCAUUGGAAACGAUGGCUAAUACCGAAUAUGACUUCGGAUCGCAUGAUCUGAAGUGGAAAGCUCCGGCGGUGAAGGAUGAGCUCGCGGCCUAUCAGCUUGUUGGUGAGGUAAUAGCUCACCAAGGCGAUGGACC
rnacentral:rRNA from 1 species